CCACCACUAAGCCAGUGGUGAACUCCACAUACGCAUCCUUUGCUGAGGAUACGGUUAACGGAGCGAAAGCGACGUUCAACCGCAAAAGAAGCAGAGGGGGCUUAGUGGUGGGGUGACUGCGUACCUUUUGUAUAAUGGGUCAGCGACUUAUAUUCUGUAGCAAGGUUAACCGAAUAGGGGAGCCGGAGGGAAACCGAGUCUUAAUUGGGCGUUAAGUUGCAGGGUAUAGACCCGAAACCCGGUGAUCUAGCCAUGGGCAGGUUGAAGGUUGGGUAACACUAACUGGAGGACCGAACCGACUAAUGUUGAAAAAUUAGCGGAUGACCUGUGGCUGGGGGUGAAAGGCCAAUCAAACCGGGAGAUAGCUGGUUCUCCCCGAAAGCUAUUUAGGUAGCGCCUCGUGAAUUCAUCUCCGGGGGUAGAGCACUGUUUCGGCUAGGGGGCCAUCCCGGCUUACCAACCCGAUGCAAACUGCGAAUACCGGAGAAUGUUAUCACGGGAGACACACGGCGGGUGCUAACGUCCGUCGUGAAGAGGGAAACAACCCAGACCGCCAGCUAAGGUCCCAAAGUCAUGGUUAAGUGGGAAACGAUGUGGGAAGGCCCAGACAGCCAGGAUGUUGGCUUAGAAGCAGCCAUCAUUUAAAGAAAGCGUAAUAGCUCACUGGUCGAGUCGGCCUGCGCGGAAGAUGUAACGGGGCUAAACCAUGCACCGAAGCUGCGGCAGCGACGCUGAUGCGUUGUUGGGUAGGGGAGCGUUCUGUAAGCCUGUGAAGGUGGCCUGUGAGGGUUGCUGGAGGUAUCAGAAGUGCGAAUGCUGACAUAAGUAACGAUAAAGCGGGUGAAAAGCCCGCUCGCCGGAAGACCAAGGGUUCCUGUCCAACGUUAAUCGGGGCAGGGUGAGUCGACCCCUAAGGCGAGGCCGAAAGGCGUAGUCGAUGGGAAACGGGUUAAUAUUCCCGUACUUGGUGUUACUGCGAAGGGGGGACGGAGAAGGCUAUGUUGGCCGGGCGACGGUUGUCCCGGUUUAAGCGUGUAGGUGUGUGUUCCAGGUAAAUCCGGUUCACUUUAACACUGAGGCGUGAUGACGAGGCACUACGGUGCUGAAGCAACAAAUGCCCUGCUUCCAGGAAAAGCCUCUAAGCAUCAGGUAACAUCAAAUCGUACCCCAAACCGACACAGGUGGUCAGGUAGAGAAUACCAAGGCGCUUGAGAGAACUCGGGUGAAGGAACUAGGCAAAAUGGUGCCGUAACUUCGGGAGAAGGCACGCUGACACGUAGGUGAAGUGAUUUACUCAUGGAGCUGAAGUCAGUCGAAGAUACCAGCUGGCUGCAACUGUUUAUUAAAAACACAGCACUGUGCAAACACGAAAGUGGACGUAUACGGUGUGACGCCUGCCCGGUGCCGGAAGGUUAAUUGAUGGGGUCAGCGCAAGCGAAGCUCCUGAUCGAAGCCCCGGUAAACGGCGGCCGUAACUAUAACGGUCCUAAGGUAGCGAAAUUCCUUGUCGGGUAAGUUCCGACCUGCACGAAUGGCGUAAUGAUGGCCAGGCUGUCUCCACCCGAGACUCAGUGAAAUUGAACUCGCUGUGAAGAUGCAGUGUACCCGCGGCAAGACGGAAAGACCCCGUGAACCUUUACUAUAGCUUGACACUGAACAUUGAGCCUUGAUGUGUAGGAUAGGUGGGAGGCUUUGAAGUGUGGACGCCAGUCUGCAUGGAGCCGGCCUUGAAAUACCACCCUUUAAUGUUUGAUGUUCUAACGUGGACCCGUGAUCCGGGUUGCGGACAGUGUCUGGUGGGUAGUUUGACUGGGGCGGUCUCCUCCUAAAGAGUAACGGAGGAGCACGAAGGUUGGCUAAUCCUGGUCGGACAUCAGGAGGUUAGUGCAAUGGCAUAAGCCAGCUUGACUGCGAGCGUGACGGCGCGAGCAGGUGCGAAAGCAGGUCAUAGUGAUCCGGUGGUUCUGAAUGGAAGGGCCAUCGCUCAACGGAUAAAAGGUACUCCGGGGAUAACAGGCUGAUACCGCCCAAGAGUUCAUAUCGACGGCGGUGUUUGGCACCUCGAUGUCGGCUCAUCACAUCCUGGGGCUGAAGUAGGUCCCAAGGGUAUGGCUGUUCGCCAUUUAAAGUGGUACGCGAGCUGGGUUUAGAACGUCGUGAGACAGUUCGGUCCCUAUCUGCCGUGGGCGCUGGAGAACUGAGGGGGGCUGCUCCUAGUACGAGAGGACCGGAGUGGACGCAUCACUGGUGUUCGGGUUGUCAUGCCAAUGGCACUGCCCGGUAGCUAAAUGCGGAAGAGAUAAGUGCUGAAAGCAUCUAAGCACGAAACUUGCCCCGAGAUGAGUUCUCCCUGAGACUUAGAGUCUCCUGAAGGAACGUUGAAGACGACGACGUUGAUAGGCCGGGUGUGUAAGCGCAGCGAUGCGUUGAGCUAACCGGUACUAAUGAACCGUGAGGCUUAACCUUACA
rnacentral:rRNA from 1 species